GUGCCAGCAGCCGCGGUAAUACAGAGGUCUCAAGCGUUGUUCGGAUUCAUUGGGCGUAAAGGGUGCGUAGGUGGCGGGGUAAGUCAGGUGUGAAAUCUCGGAGCUCAACUCCGAAACUGCACUUGAUACUGCCUUGCUCGAGUACUGGAGAGGAGAUUGGAAUUUACGGUGUAGCAGUGAAAUGCGUAGAUAUCGUAAGGAAGACCAGUGGCGAAGGCGAAUCUCUGGACAGUUACUGACACUGAGGCACGAAGGCCAGGGGAGCAAACAGGAUUAGAUACCCUAGUAGUCC
rnacentral:rRNA from 1 species